CUCACUGACGAGGGCAAGGGAGGAGGGUGAAUCACACGCUGGAGUUUUCCACCAAGUACCUGCCCUCUGUGGCUUCUAGGCAAGGCCCUGGACCUUCACAACCCUUCUCCUUGGGAUUUUCCUAGAGAAAGCACCCAGAGCGUACCUCAAGAAGCAAUGUAGAGAGGACCCAGGAUUGGGACCAGACAGACCUGAGUUUCUUCUCCUCCUCUAUCAUGUAUCAGUCACGACAGCUAGGCAAGGGUCAGCCUUGGUUUCCCAGUCUGUCAAAGGAAGCUCCUCGAUGCGACUCAGAUCACAUCUGGGUCCCACAUUCCCGCUGAGGCCGGCAGUUCCGGCAACUUUGGUCAUACGGAUGGAGACAGCACGGCACCACGCGGGAGGUGUUCUGUCAACAGUGUCCGGUGGAUGGAGCUGCUGGCUUGCAGCAUCUCGAGUUCGGGCCUGCCUCUCCAGCAGAUGUAUUUCUCCCCCGGUAAGACUGAGAUUGAGCCCAGCACCCUCGGGGAAUGCCCGAGCAGCAUUCUCCAGGAAGGGGCAGCCAAGGCUGACAUACAGCAGGACUGCUGUCGUUAAUCUUCACCAACUCUUCCAACGACAAAAAGUCAAAAACUGAAGACAAGCAAAUAUUUCAGUGCAUUUUUUUCCACUAGUGGACAUGUGAAAAACUAAGAUCACCCAGGGAAGCCUGUGCACCCUUAGACUGCAGCCCUAAGAGUCACAGGACACACCAAGGGCAGCACCAGAAGACCCAUCUGAACAAAGCACAAAGGCGGAGGAAGGAAGCUGAGGACAUGUGGAGAGAGGCUGGGCAGCCUCCUCUGGUCCACAUGCCUGAUGAUGGAGGCUCUCAGCCUGGCCCCACCACCCGCCCCCAUCACCGUGCUGAGUGGGCCCCAGUGAGAACUCAAUGGGGGAGGCUAGGAUGGGGAGGGGCAGGGUCCUAAACCACAACAGUAACAUGGGGAAGGGUGAAGGCAGCCAGGCAGGGGGCAGAAAUCAGACAGAACCGCUAGCAGUCAGCGGGAAG
rnacentral:lncRNA from 1 species